GCAGACACAUUCCAGCCAAUCAGCAGCAGACCCUCCCUCCCAGACCCUCCCACCUCCUGGACAGCAUCCAUUUUACAUUCAUUGUGAAGCUGCAUUCUUAGUGAGCUGUCAAGGAGGUGGGAGGGUCUGGGAGGGAGGGUCUGCUGCUGAUUGGCUGGAAUGUGUCUG